CUGCAGUUCAUGCUCUGGUGCCUGGAGACGUGAAUCAGAGCCUAGUUAUUAUAAACCAGAACAAAUAACUAAAUGGUGCUGCUCUCUCUGUGAUAUACGCUCCACGGUUGAGCUCUGAGUCUCAAUCUCUUGAUCUUCUCAAAAAACCAGGCAGGACCAGCAUCCUUCAUCCUUGCAGUCCUUGGGUGAAUAUCCCAACAAGCUGAAUUCUGUGGCACCAGCACCCUGUGUCCUCAUGGGCUGCUUCUAAAAGCCUCACUGGCUCAUGUAUCCAUGAGGUGUGGAUGGAUUCCUACUGACGUGUAGUGUAUCUCUUUUCUCACUGCACAUUAUUCUUUCAGGAUCCCCAGGCCACUCUGCAUACUUACAGUCCCAACCAGGAGAGGAAAGGCUCCAUCAUCGUGAUCCACAGAGGCUUGGGACAUUGUAAUAGAUGAUGAAGAGUUCUGGUUCUGCUGAUGUCAUUCGCUCCUCUCAAGCAUAAGAUAUCCUGUCAAGACUACCAACGGGAAGAUGCUAUAUGAGACAGUGACAGCUAACAGAAAUAGUCCAGGGGUCCCAGCAAAAGUGAUCUGCUUAUAAGCUGCUCCCUGUUCAACGUGGCUGAGUACCUUGGUGUAAUUUCCAGUUUGGAUCUUAAAAGGGAUCAACAAAAGCCUGCAUGCCACGCUUAUGAAAAUCUGCACCAAUGGAGGUGACCCACUGCCGCUGCUGCUACUGCUGAAAUGCACCACCCAUCACCUCACUGUUCUCACUUCCACUGUUUGGUCUCCGUAACACGCAACAAGUAUCAGUGAAUGUCAGUGGGUGACAUUUUUUCCACAUGCAGGAAUUCAGUGACAUAACCUUGCUCCAUUGGCACUUCCAUGCCAGACACCAUUCUAUCAGACUGCCCCUCUGCUGCCAUCUAUUACAGGGCAACAAAAUGUAAUGGAAUACUGGUGGGAAGGUCCAACCUCUAUUGUGGUACCACUGCCUCUGACAUCAUGGGCCGACAUUAUAAUUUUGGGCGCAUUACUUUCAGAGCCACCCUUGUACUAGGCUCAACAAGUCUUCUGCUCAUACGUCUCUUGGAAGAAAACAAUUUAUGUUUAGGAGACGCGACCAAAAGUGGCAGCAAUUGUCUUGGAGACUGGAUUUUGGAGCUGUUAAAAACAUUUCAAUCAUCUGUAAAUUACUUGAGAAGUUGAAGUAAUCAAUUCAAUAAUAGUAGGUGCUGGCAGUGCUCUUGGCUUUGUUUUUGCACUGUUUUGGGGUAGGUGUGGAGAAGAGGGGAUAUCACACACUGAGGAACCACUAAGACCCUGUCUGCUGUAUGCAGCUCUGUAUUUCCCCUGAUGAUUGUGCAUGAACCUCAAACUGACUCCAGAAAAUUACAACUGCAGCUCAUCAGUUAAACUCAGUUUCCUGCCAUGACAAAGAACUGAACAGUCAUAACCAAAGGAAGAAAAAUUUGAGCUAUUUUGGGACAAGAAAAAGGCAAUGUGGCUUUUUUAAUGAGAAAGGCAUCUUCCAGUGAAGGAAACAGACUUUUGUGACAGAGCUGUGGAGCUGCUGUUUCUCUGGCAGACAGUUUCAGGCUGCAUUCCUGUUUAAUUGGCAUCAAGCCCAGCAUCAAGCCCAUCUUCAGAGCUACACUUUCCUCUGAGUUUUAAUUUGUACUUAAAAACUAUGCUCCAGUGGCUGAACUUCA
ensembl:lncRNA